UACAGAGGUCCCAAGCGUUGUUCGGAUUCACUGGGCGUAAAGGGUGCGUAGGCGGUCGGGUAAGUCUGAUGUGAAAUCUCACAGCUUAACUGUGAAACUGCAUUGGAUACUAUUCGGCUUGAGAGUUGGAGGGGGGACUGGAAUUCUUGGUGUAGCAGUGAAAUGCGUAGAUAUCAAGAGGAACACCAGUGGCGAAGGCGAGUCCCUGGACAAAGACUGACGCUCAGGUGCGAAAGCGUGGGGAGCAAACAGG
rnacentral:rRNA from 1 species